rnacentral:rRNA from 1 species
AGUGAACGCUGGCGGUAGACCUAACACAUGCAAGUCGAACGGCAGCACAGUAAGAGCUUGCUCUUACGGGUGGCGAGUGGCGGACGGGUGAGGAAUACAUCGGAAUCUACUUUUUCGUGGGGGAUAACGUAGGGAAACUUACGCUAAUACCGCAUACGACCUACGGGUGAAAGCAGGGGAUCUUCGGACCUUGCGCGAUUGAAUGAGCCGAUGUCGGAUUAGCUAGUUGGCGGGGUAAAGGCCCACCAAGGCGACGAUCCGUAGCUGGUCUGAGAGGAUGAUCAGCCACACUGGAUCUGAGACACGGUCCAGACUCCUACGGGAGGCAGCAGUGGGGAAUAUUGGACAAUGGGCGCAAGCCUGAUCCAGCCAUACCGCGUGGGUGAAGAAGGCCUUCGGGUUGUAAAGCCCUUUUGUUGGGAAAGAAAAGCAGCAGGUUAAUACCCCGCUGUUCUGACGGUACCCAAAGAAUAAGCACCGGCUAACUUCGUG